GGGAAGGAGCUGAGGCUUGGCACUGUAAGAGACCAGGAGAGGCCACUGGUGAAGGUUCAGCUUCAGUGUCAGUUGAUCAUCGAGGACUGAAAGGGAGGUGGCAAAGAAGUUGAGGCUUGGCACCUUGAAGAACAUCUAUGAGAGAUGACUAGUUAAAGUUCAGCCUAUGUGCACCAGAAGACAUCAUUAUUUUGGAUAGAUGCAAGUACCAUGGGGGUAACCACCAAGACCAUAAGAAGCAGUGGAGUGGAGUCAGUCUAGAAGAAAAGCUUUGUGUGCUACAGAGGGUAGAGCUGGAGAAAUGACACAAAAUUCUCCAGUCUUCUUUGGAGAGACCCAGAAGAUUGUGUGGAUCCCAGACUUAGGACAUUGAGUUAAUUAUACUGAAAAAGCCUAGAUUUGUUUGGCUCAGAUUAUGACUGUGCCCUGGUUCUUUCUUCUUAAAGAAGGUUCCAGUCCUGCUUGAGUCCUGUCCUAACAGCCUCUAUUGAUCAACUAUGUUCUGGAAGUGUAAGCAGGUAAAUGAAGCCUUUCCUCCACUUUUUGGACAUGGUAUUUAGUUCCAGUGCAUGGACCUUUGUUUGUCAUACCACAGUGUUGACUCAUCUCAAGCAUACAGUUCUAUGGGAAUGACCUUUGGACUGCAGUUCUACAAUGUUGACCUUUCCUCUGCAGUUUCACGGUGAUGACUUUGGGUCUGCAUUUUUGACCUUGGGUCUAUAACAGCAAAGUGUUCACCACAGACUAACAUGGACAACCUUUGAACAUCUUCAUGACAAUGGUGCUGCUAUAUGUAUGAAAACGUCUGAAAGAAAAUGUCCUUUCUACAUUUUGUUCUUCCAGCAGCUUUGCCAACUUUAUGCUUACUCUUUGAAUUUCAUUCUUCCUUCUUUCCAUGUUUAAUUAUAGAUUUUAUUUAGAAAAACGUAGCUUCUGAUUAUGUUCUACACUGACACUUAGAGAAGUUUGGUCCAGUUCAUCAUCUCUCAGCUAUCUCUGCAAUUCUUCCUUCUAGGAUCCUUGUAGUCAUCCCAUACAACAACAUUUGCUCACUGAUUUUUACUUUUUGUUUUUGCUUUUUUUAAUCAGGCAGAGUCCAAUUUCCUGAAACUUCUCAUUUGAUUUCCUAGUACUUAAUAUAUAUUCAGUUCAGACAAUCCUAACCUCAUGAUCAUGGCAAACUAAGGUUAUUUUCUAGCUCACUACUUAAAUUAAUGCCUCUAUUUUCCUUUUCCCAACUUUGUCUCAGUACAUCUAAAACCAUCAAACAGACAAUAUAUUGUAAUGUCAGUGAUUAAGGAGAGAACUUAUUCUGCAAUGAGAGGACUGCAAAGCUACAUUAUCUCCAUUGAGUCUAUUCAACUUUAUUUCUCAGUAUCUGUAUCUGGUAUAAGGAUACAAUAAAACCUAAUAUAUAGGACUGUUGUGAAAAUUAAGUAUAAUAGUUCAUGAAAAAUAUGUAAUAAACACUAUUUG
rnacentral:lncRNA from 1 species